CACUUGUCAGCUUGGGUGAAAAAUACUGCCUACCCAUCACUCUCUGAUUUUUCCUUUCAGCCAAGACUGAAUGCCACUAAUGGGCCAUUACCUGAAAGUACCGUGAAGGGUGAGCUUGUCCUUGGGAAAUAAACCUCUGGUGUGAAUUAUUUCACUUGCAUCUGACCAGCGUCAACACUGAUGGCCUGUGGAGUGGGAUGGAAAGGCUGAUGACACACAGGCCAGGUGACAGCAGAGCAGCUCAGCACAAGGGCCGAGGCUGGCUGCAGCUCUGACGGGCAUGUUCUGGACUUCAGCAAGUAUGGAACCUCCCUGUGCCUCAGUUUAUACACUUGUAAAUGGGUGGAUAAUAAUGGCACUGUCAAUCAGGAAUCCAGACUCAGAAAGGCACAAACUCCUGGCCACAACCCCUGCUGCAGACGGAGGGAGUCUGGGGCCCCAGGAGGAUCCGGAUGCUGGUGCUGUCGGCUGUGGAGAGAAAAGACAUGCUUGAGGAGAACUGGGCCCUGUCUAUGGCUCAGCCUUCCAGGGUAUCUAAUUCUGGUUCUAAGGGAACUGUUUCACAACUUGCUAAGGUGCAGACAACUGACAGCAAUGCCGAGAGAUGACUCCAUUGCAGCCAGGUGAGCUCAGUCCUGUGGCGGCUCUGCUGGCUACCUUCUCACAGCGGAAGGGCCCAGCGUGGUUCCAUCUGCACAUUCCCCUACAUAUUCCAGACCUACACACCCAUGGGUUGUCUGAUUCUCCUUCCUUGUAACUGGUUGUAAGAUCUUACUAGUUCUCUCA
rnacentral:lncRNA from 1 species